ACGAACGCUGGCGGCGUGCUUAACACAUGCAAGUCGAACGGAAAGGCCCUGCUUGCAGGGUACUCGAGUGGCGAACGGGUGGGUAACACGUGGGUGAUCUGCCCUGCACUUCGGGAUAAGGCUGGGAAACUGGGUCUAAUACCGGAUAGGAGCCAUUUUUAGUGUGAUGGUUGGAAAGUUUUUUCGGUGUAGGAUGAGCUCGCGGCCUAUCAGCUUGUUGGUGGGGUAAUGGCCUACCAAGGCGGCGACGGGUAGCCGGCCUGGGAGGGUGGACGGCCACAUUGGGACUGAGAUAAGGCCCAGACGCCUACGGGAAGCCGAAGUGGGGAAUAUUGCACAAUGGGCGCAAGCCUGAUGCAGCGACGCCGCGUGGGGGAUGACGGCCUUCGGGUUGUAAACUCCUUUCGCUAGGGACGAAGCUUUUUGUGACGGUACCUAGAGAAGAAGCACCGGCUAACUACGUG
rnacentral:rRNA from 1 species